rnacentral:rRNA from 1 species
CCUACGGGAGGCAGCAGUGGGGAAUAUUGCGCAAUGGGCGAAAGCCUGACGCAGCGACGCCGCGUGAGGGAUGAAGGUCUUCGGAUCGUAAACCUCUGUCAGCAGGGAAGAAAGGUCACUGUGCUAAUCAGCAGUGAAUUGACGGUACCUGCAAAGGAAGCACCGGCUAACUCCGUGACAGCAGCCGCGGUAAUACGGAGGGUGCGAGCGUUAAUCGGAAGUACUGGGCGGAAAGCGCUCGUAGGCGGUAUGUCAAGUCAAGGGUGAAAUCCCCGCGCUCAACGUGGGAACUGCCUGUGAAACUGGCAAACUUGAGUGUGUGAGAGGAUAGUGGAAGUCCAGGUGUAGGAGUGAAAUCCGUAGAUAUCUGGAGGAACAUCAGUGGCGAAGGCGACUAUCUGGCACAUAACUGACGCUGAGGAGCGAAAGCGUGGGUAGCAAACAGGAUUAGAUACCCCAGUAGUC